UAAUACGUAGGGACCAAGCGUUGUUCGGAUUUACUGGGCGUAAAGGGUGCGUAGGCGGCGCGUCAAGUCAGUUGUGAAAUCUUAAGGCUUAACCUUAAACGGUCAACUGAUACUGUCGUGCUAGAGUGCAGAAAGGGCAAUCGGAAUUCUUGGUGUAGCGGUGAAAUGCGUAGAUAUCAAGAGGAACACCUGAGGCGAAGGCGGGUUGCUUGGCUGACACUGACGCUGAGGCACGAAAGCUAGGGUAGCAAACGGGAUUAGAUACCCCGGUAGUCCUAGCCCUAAACGAUGAAUGCUUGGUGUCUGGAGUUUCAAUUCUCCGGGUGCCGUCGCUAACGUUUUAAGCAUUCCGCCUGGGGAGUACGUACGCAAGUAUG
rnacentral:rRNA from 1 species